rnacentral:lncRNA from 1 species
AUCACAAUCACCAGGACAGGCUGACCCUAGUGCAGCUAAGAGCUUACCCCCAAAUCCCACAGUGAGAAACUGGCUGAUGAAUGUGCCUACAACUACAGAGCAGAGGAUGGGAUUGUGAUAGAUGCCCACAAAGAUGUUCUUCUCUCCUGGAUCUUUUGGGAGUUGGUUUCAUUGAAGACCUGCACCCGCCUGAAGUUGUUGCAAAAUGUGUUAUGGCAUUGGCUGGAUGGUGGAUGAAGAGGCCCUUUCCUCUCACUAUCAGUAUCAAAGAACUUCUCACCAGCAAAAACAAGGAUAAAGGUGACAGUGAACUGACAGCCUGCAUAGCCCAAGAUGUUCACCAUAAUAUGUUAGAUCAGAAGCUUAUUUCAGCCAUAGAGCAAAUCCCUAGCCUCCCACAGGUGAUGUGUUUGUUCAGCUGUAAUGUGGUCACAGUUCUGUUAAGUAGGGGCCACUGA